UAUGGUCAUCUUAUUUGAGGUAUAAACGAUGACAAGCAAAGAAACUGCAAAAAGGGGGAUAAUGCUUACAAGAAACCAAAAAAAACUGGCUUACCUCCUCUGUAAAUUUCUUCCCUCCUUUGUUAGAACACUGGUCUCCAAUUCCUAGGAAAACACAGCAACCAAAAAAAACCUAUCAUCAUCCACCAACAUAAUAAUUACAUGAGCCAUGAA
rnacentral:lncRNA from 1 species